GAGUAACCUGCCCUUGACUCCGUUUAAGGGCGGGAAACUGGGUCUAAUACUGGAUGCUACAUGUCACCUCAUGGUGUUGUGUGGAAAGGGUUUACUGGUCUUGGAUGGGCUCACGGCCUAUCAGCUUGUUGGUGAGGUAAUGGCUCACCAAGGCGACGACGGGUAGCCGGCCUGAGAGGGUGACCGGCCACACUGGGACUGACACACCGCCCACACUCCUACGGGAGGCAGCAGUGGGGAAUAUUGCACAAUGGGCGAAAGCCUGAUGCAGCGACGCCGCGUGAGGGAUGACGGCUUCUGGGUUUUUUACCUCUUUCAGCAGGGAAAAAGCCACAAUUGACGGUACCUGCAGAAGAAGCGCCGGCUAACUACGUGCCAGCACCCCGCGUUAAUACGUAGGGCGCAAGCGUUGUCCGGAAUUAUUGGGCCUAAA
rnacentral:rRNA from 1 species